rnacentral:rRNA from 1 species
GACGAACGCUGGCGGCGUGCCUAAUACAUGCAAGUCGAGCGAGCGGAACUAACAGAUUUACUUCGGUAAUGACGUUAGGAAAGCGAGCGGCGGAUGGGUGAGUAACACGUGGGGAACCUGCCCCAUAGUCUGGGAUACCACUUGGAAACAGGUGCUAAUACCGGAUAAGAAAGCAGACCGCAUGAUCAGCUUUUAAAAGGCGGCGUAAGCUGUCGCUAUGGGAUGGCCCCGCGGUGCAUUAGCUAGUUGGUAAGGUAAAGGCUUACCAAGGCGAUGAUGCAUAGCCGAGUUGAGAGACUGAUCGGCCACACUGGGACUGAGACACGGCCCAAACUCCUACGGGAGGCAGCAGUAGGGAAUCUUCCACAAUGGACGCAAGUCUGAUGGAGCAACGCCGCGUGAGUGAAGAAGGUUUUCGGAUCGUAAAGCUCUGUUGUUGGUGAAGAAGGAUAGAGGUAGUAACUGGCCUUUAUUUGACGGUAAUCAACCAGAAAGUCACGGCUAACUACGUGCCAGCAGCCGCGGUAAUACGUAGGCGGCAAGCGUUGUCCGGAUUUAUUGGGCGUAAAGCGAGCGCAGGCGGAAGAAUAAGUCUGAUGUGAAAGUCCUCGGCUUAACCGAGGAACUGCAUCGGAAACUGUUUUUCUUGAGUGCAGAAGAGGAGAGUGGAACUCCAUGUGUAGCGGUGGAAUGCGUAGAUAUAUGGAAGAACACCAGUGGCGAAGGCGGCUCUCUGGUCUGCAACUGACGCUGAGGCUCGAAAGCAUGGGUAGCGAACAGGAUUAGAUACCCUGGUAGUCCAUGCCGUAAACGAUGGGUGCUAAGUGUUGGGAGGUUUCCGCCUCUCAGUGCUGCAGCUAACGCAUUAAGCACUCCGCCUGGGGAGUACGACCGCAAGGUUGAAACUCAAAGGAAUUGACGGGGGCCCGCACAAGCGGUGGAGCAUGUGGUUUAAUUCGAAGCAACGCGAAGAACCUUACCAGGUCUUGACAUCUAGUGCCAUUUGUAGAGAUACAAAAUUCCCUUCGGGGACGCUAAGACAGGUGGUGCAUGGCUGUCGUCAGCUCGUGUCGUGAGAUGUUGGGUUAAGUCCCGCAACGAGCGCAACCCUUGUUAUUAGUUGCCAGCAUUAAGUUGGGCACUCUAAUGAGACUGCCGGUGACAAACCGGAGGAAGGUGGGGAUGACGUCAAGUCAUCACGCCCCUUAUGACCUGGGCUACACACGUGCUACAAUGGGCAGUACAACGAGAAGCGAGCCUGCGAAGGCAAGCGAAUCUCUGAAAGCUGUUCUCAGUUCGGACUGCAGUCUGCAACUCGACUGCACGAAGCUGGAAUCGCUAGUAAUCGCGGAUCAGCACGCCGCGGUGAAUACGUUCCCGGGCCUUGUACACACCGCCCGUCACACCAUGGGAGUCUGCAAUGCCCAAAGCCGGUGGCCUAACCUUCGGGAAGGAGCCGUCUAAGGCAGGGCAGAUGACUGGGGUGAAGUCGUAACAAGGUAGCCGUAGGAGAACC